rnacentral:rRNA from 1 species
CCUACGGGUGGCAGCAGUGGGGAAUAUUGCACAAUGGGGGAAACCCUGAUGCAGCGACGCCGCGUUAGUGCAGAAGUAAUUAGUUAUGUAAAGCUCUAUCAGCAGGGAAGAAAAUGACGGUACCUGCGUAAUAAGCCCCGGCUUACUCCGUUCCAGCCGCCGCGGUAAUACGUAGGGGGCAAGCGUUAUCCGGAUUUACUGGGGGUAAAGGGGGCGUAGACGGCAGUGCAAGUCUGGAGUGAAAGGCGGGGGCUCAACCCCCGGACUGCUCUGGAAACUGUACGGCUGGAGUGCAGGAGAGGUAAGUGGAAUUCCUAGUGUAGCGGUGAAAUGCGUAGAUAUUAGGAGGAACACCAGUGGCGAAGGCGGCUUACUGGACUGUAACUGACGUUGAGGCUCGAAAGCGUGGGGAGCAAACAGGAUUAGAUACCCCGGUAGUC